rnacentral:lncRNA from 1 species
GGCCUCAGCCCUGCAAGAAAUUCAGCAGACUCCCUAAGCGUAAGCUCGAUGCAGGGCCAAAGUCUGCCAGCAGGGGGCGCACCCAAGCUCACAGCAAAGACAAAGGCCAGAAGCAAACUGUUGUGGGGUGGUGAGCGGAUGGAGGCUGCUGGGAAAGGCAGGGAGCAGAAUCCGAGAGUCAAUCAGCAGGGCCAGGAAGAAGAUAUCUAACCUUUCACCUCCAAAACGAACAUUGAAAGUACAGAAACACAAGAUUGGCUGUUUUCUAAGAGGGAGAAUGAAAAGCUGGGAGUCCUCUUGGUGGCCAGACAGGAAACUUGUCUCCCAGGAAGAGACUUCACUCUGUUAGACUGCCUGGCAGGACGCACUGGAGCCCCAAUAACAACAGCGGUCAGUGAUGGGCAGGAUGGCACCUGAACCAAGCCUGCUUGCUGUGCACACUGUGUCCCUGUUUAAAUCUAAACCUCAUGUCAGGACUCUGAAGAUGGAGUUAGUAGGAUGUGUUUGUUCCUCUUGAAAUGGAACCACCUUGCACAAAUCUUCCGGUUGACCCGUUGCAGGUAGAUGGCUUAUCCUGGUUCAUUCAGGCUGCCAGGGCCCUUCCAGAUGCUGGUCCUCAACACAUCAGUAACAAUAGGACAGAGAGGUCACCAGGAAACUGGCUUCUCACUAUGGACUGGAGACCUGUAGCAAGGACUUCCAAACAAGCCAUCAGAUGGCCCCACAGAACAUGAGGCCUCAGUGUUUGACUUUUUUUUCCUGCCAUCUGGAAUGUCAAGGUCCUACAGUCACCUAGGAGACAAACAUCUGGGCAUCCGUGUAAUGAAGUUUCUAGAUCGGGUUAACUGAACUGGGACAAUCCAUCCUAAUUAUGGUGGUACCACUCUGCAAGCUGCCGCCCCGGACUGAAUGAAAAGGAGAAAGUGAGCCAAGCGUCCAUCUCUCUCUGCUUCCUGAAUUUGAAUGCAAAGUAACCAACCUGCUUCACACCUCUGCCUUCUCUGCAGUGAUGGGCUACACCCUCCAUCCUUGAGCCAAAAAUAAACCCUUCCUUGCUUAUGCUGGUGUUGCCAGGUGUCUUUGUCCAAGCAGGGAGAAAAGUAACUGAUACAUCCUGCCAUGAUGCCAUCUUAAAUCAGGGGCUCCGCUUACCUCCUGAACUGUACCAGCCUCCUUACUAUCCCCUUGAAGCCACAGCCUUGAUCUCCCUCUGUUCUUACAAUCACCACUCACAUGUUCAUUCAUGGUGUAUGCACUGGUUGAGCGCCUGCUGUGUGCAGCAUAGUCCUGAAUCCUGGGGCUGUAACACUGGUGGGAACUGAAAAUCUGGUCAUAUUCCACCUCCAGUCACUCUCAGAGGAAGUGGCAAGCCAAGGGCGACAGGUCAGCACCAGGAAGGCCUGGGAUCUGCCGUCCCUGUCCUUCCUCACUGGAGGCUGAGAGGGUACAGGUGCCACCUUCACAGACUUCAACUCCCAGAGUAUCAUGAGCGACUUAAUGCUCAGCUCAUUAUAAUC